rnacentral:sRNA from 1 species
AGAUUAGCCAGAAGACUAGAGAGAUCUCUGUCUUCAGUCCCUAUCUGUGCUCUUUUCCAUUCCUGGGUCAAUACUGCUGAAGUAGUCUGAGAAGGAAAUAAAUAAAGACUGCACCCUGUCUCAGGAGAAAAGAAUUGGGAGAAUAUCUAAAUCUCUUCUAUAUAUGAGGUGAAGGGCCAUGCCUGGCAGACUACAUGGGGAAUCAGAGGAUCAAGAGGAGUGAAGAGAGGAUCCCUGGAGGAAUGCCCGUCCUCCCUCCACUGACAGCAGCCACAGUUACUAACAGGGUCUUUCUGAUGAGGAGAAUCUGACAGGACCCAGUUGAGCAAGGACUGGAACUGCUUUUGGGGAAUAGGAAAGACAACUGAAAACAAAAAGUCUACCUGAACCUCUUCCAAAAAAAAAGGGAAUACAUUGGAGAAAAAAACACAGUAGUUGAAAUUUCAGUCCUCAGUGGAGGAAAGUUGCUACUGGUCUGUAAGUAGGUCUUUUUCUCUCACCCUUCAACCACAUCAUUGCCUUUCUCUAGUUCUCUUUCUCCCCUCACCUCCUCUUUCUCCCUCUCCUUCUCUUUCUCUGGAAGACAAGUAAAUUUUUGUAAUGUGCAUUGCAAGAGGGCAAGGGUUUUGCCUUGAUUCCUCAUGAGUAACAAUUAUCAAUGAGUUUUAUUGGAUAUAUGAGAUUCUUGAAUCCUCCUCCCCAGUGUGUCUGUGCUUAGAACAUUUAUCUUUCAGAUCCAAUAUAUCACAGGUUUUGAUAUGCAAACAAAGCUUUAUUAAUGAGUCAAAAGAUUGCUGGUAUUAGAGCAUAUAAUCUAGCAACAAUAUUGACACCUAAAAUACUUUUCCUGAACAUUAUUUUCUCAUUAAUUGGACAGCUUCUAAGCGCACAUGGUGUCCUGUGAAUUAUGUUAGCUAUUAAGAAACAAAAAUAAAAAGAAUAUUGUUGUUGAUUUGAGGACCUCAAAGUUUGGGUAGGAAAAAUACAAAUAUGCACUCCAGAACACAUUCUUCUAAACUGUAGAGCAGUGAGGAAUGGAAUAAAAGACAUGUAUGGGCAGUAAGAUACUUGGUCCUGUAAGGAAGCAUUAGAUAAAGAGAAGGUCUGGGCAGUAGGCCUUGCACAGCCACACACACACAUGCACACACAUACAUACCCACAGCAUAAAAGUUGUGUCCCGCCUGGGAAUAAAUCAAAUAAGAGAAUUCACUGUGUUUCCCAUUAUUCAUCCAAUACCUGAUAAUAGUGAGCGAUUUGUUUUAGAAUAUUCUUCUAAAUACAAGAUUCUGUGCUUCAGUAACAACUUACAAGUAUGUGUUACUUUGUUUUGACCAUACAAGGAAAAUUUCUCAAGUAUCUAAUACCAAGACUGUCCCAAAUGUCCGAAUGUUUUAAAUUUAACUGAAAGCAUCUGAGAUUAAGCCCUGUCAUACUCAAGCAGAAUUCUGCAGAGCUCUCUCCGUUCAUUUCUCUUCUCCAUCUUGCAAAAAAAAUGAUAAAUUAGUAUUUAAUUCCUGGAUAUCCUGGAAUUGAAACCUACUGAUUAAAAAAUAAGCAUGUACCACAUAUAAGAAGCAAUAGUUAAAAGCAUAUAAUCAAUAAUUUAAUUAGAAAUUUCUCAAAAGUGAAAAGCCAUCUGUUAAGAUCCGAGUAGAUACACCUUUUUCUUUAUUACUCAAAGAAGAAGGACUCUCUAAAAUCUCAUUCUCUCAUACAUUUAAACAUAAGAAAAAUGGCUUGACUUGAAAUGUGAAUAACCAUAUACCUAUGGAAGAAUCUUACAAUUAUAAAGAUAUAACAUGCUUGUAAGGUAAAUUUAAGCCACCACCUCUUAGGAAAUAUUAAAAAUCUGAAAGUUUUAACAAUAUGUUAUAUUAACAUAUACUUAUCAAAACACCAAAACUUUGAGGACUAGUUAUUUUCAAGAUCACAUCAUUUGUAUGACAAAUCCAGAUGUCUACAGUAAGCUGUUAGAAGAUAACCUUGGGUGCCAGGAAAAGGACAUAUUGAGGGAUUUAGAGUACAUACCUCCCUGAGAUUAAGAAAAUUUUCCAUAAGUCUUGUCUUCCCAAAGAACAUGGUAAAAAGUUCAUAUUUUAAAAGUAUUUGCCUGAAAAAUCUGUUUUGCUUCACUUAUAUGUAAUUUUUAGACAUUUAUAAACAAUGUCAAAACAAUAUCGGCAUAUAUUUAUUUGAAAAACAAGGUGAACAAGUUAACUUUGGUUUUAUCUCACCAAAAUAGGUAAUAUUAGUGAGGAUUUCCUCUAGAACUGUGCUGUGCAAUAUGAGUCACAUACUUAAUUUUAAACUUUUUAGUACACAUGUUGAAAAAGUAGAAACAGACAAAAUUAGUUCUAAUAAUAUAUUUUAUUUAGUCCAACAUAUCCAAAAUAUUAUCAUUUCAACACAUAACAAAUACAAGAUAAUCAUUAAUGUGAUAUUGCACAUUCCUUUUCUGUACUAAGUCUUUGAAACACGCUGAGUAUUUUACACUUAACAUACAUUUUAAUUCAGACUACCCAGAUUCCAAGCAUUCAAUAGCCACGUGAGGCUAGUGACUAUGGUAUUAAUCAGUACUACUCUAGAAAUUUUGCUUUGAAAGUCAGAUAUGGAUAGAAAAUAAAGUUAAUUAGAAAAUAUGUAUUCUUGAAAUACAUCUUAUAAUAUAAUACAGUUAUAUUUAUAUUAUUUUGUUUUGGCUAUAAUUUUUCUUUUUUAUAUGUUUUGCCAAGGAAGUCAGGGUUUUAGAGGAGAGUAAAGAUUUUUUUUUUUAAUGCUGCAAUAACAUGAGUGCUAAAUCUUGGAAACCAAGGUGAGAAGAUUUAUUUUUAAAAGAAGUUUUAGUUACUGGGUUUUUAAGACAUAUGGUCCUGAAAUCCCACAGCAACAGACUUGAAGAAGAGUCAAACUUAAGAUCCUAAGGAAGAAUGUAAAUGGGUAUUUACUCAUAACAAGUAAGGAAUAUUAGCAUUAGAGUAAUCGACAGACAUUAAUACGUUAAAGGUUUAUCAGAAGGUAAAUGAUAAACAUUAUUUGUAAUUCAUUAAAUUUUUCUUUACAUCAUUU